rnacentral:rRNA from 1 species
CCUACGGGAGGCAGCAGUGAGGAAUAUUGGUCAAUGGACGAGAGUCUGAACCAGCCAAGUAGCGUGAAGGAUGACUGCCCUAUGGGUUGUAAACUUCUUUUAUAUGGGAAUAAAACGUUCCACGUGUGGGAUUUUGUAUGUACCAUAUGAAUAAGGAUCGGCUAACUCCGUGCCAGCAGCCGCGGUAAUACGGAGGAUCCGAGCGUUAUCCGGAUUUAUUGGGUUUAAAGGGAGCGUAGGUGGAUUGUUAAGUCAGUUGUGAAAGUUUGCGGCUCAACCGUAAAAUUGCAAUUGAAACUGGCAGUCUUGAGGACAGUAGAGGUGGGCGGAAUUCGUGGUGUAGCGGUGAAAUGCUUAGAUAUCACGAAGAACUCCGAUUGCGAAGGCAGUUCACUGGACUGCAACUGACACUGAGGCUCGAAAGUGUGGGUAUCAAACAGGAUUAGAUACCCCUGUAGUC